AAAAGAUCCGUUUCUUCUCCGCCCCCGUGACGUUCCGCCGUUUAUAUGCCUCGAUUAGGGAUUCAUUCCUCCUUUUGCGAGGCCUGGCGGCAAGAGGUGGGGUCAAUUCAGGGUCGACGCUAGGCUCUCGUCCUCUCCAACAUGGCGGAUCGGCUGACCCGUAUCGCUAUCGUUAGCUCCGACCGAUGCAAGCCGAAGAAGUGCCGCCAAGAGUGCAAGAAGAGCUGCCCCGUCGUGAAAACAGGAAAGCUUUGCAUAGAAGUAACCCCUGCCUCAAAACUUGCUUUCAUUUCUGAGGAGUUAUGCAUUGGAUGUGGUAUAUGUGUCAAGAAAUGUCCAUUUGAGGCCAUUCAGAUCAUCAAUCUACCGAAGGACUUGGACAAAGAUACAACUCACCGUUAUGGACCAAAUACAUUUAAAUUGCACAGAUUGCCAGUUCCAAGACCCGGACAAGUUCUGGGCCUGGUUGGUACAAAUGGUAUUGGAAAGUCCACUGCGCUUAAAGUGUUGGCCGGGAAGUUAAAGCCCAACUUGGGUCGAUUCAAUAAUCCUCCUGAUUGGCAGGAGAUCUUGACAUAUUUCCGUGGCUCUGAGCUUCAGAAUUAUUUUACUCGUAUACUGGAGGACAAUCUAAAGGCAAUCAUCAAGCCACAGUAUGUUGAUCACAUUCCAAAAGCUGUUCAAGGGAAUGUGGGACAGGUGCUUGACCAAAAGGAUGAGAGGGAGAAGAAGGCACAACUAUGUGCUGACUUAGAAUUAAAUCAAGUUAUUGAUCGAAAUGUGGGGGAUUUAUCUGGUGGAGAGUUGCAAAGAUUUGCUAUUGCUGUGGUUGCUAUACAAAAUGCAGAGAUUUAUAUGUUCGAUGAACCGUCAAGUUAUCUUGAUGUGAAACAGCGGCUCAAAGCAGCACAAGUUGUCCGUUCCCUGCUCAGACCUAACAGCUAUGUGAUUGUUGUGGAGCAUGACCUCAGUGUACUGGACUAUUUGUCCGAUUUCAUUUGUUGCUUAUAUGGGAAGCCAGGAGCUUAUGGAGUUGUUACAUUGCCUUUCUCUGUACGUGAAGGAAUAAACAUUUUUUUGGCUGGUUUUGUUCCUACAGAAAAUUUGCGGUUUCGAGAUGAGUCACUUAUGUUUAAGGUUGCUGAGACUCCUCAAGAAAGUGCUGAGGAGAUUCAGACUUAUCAACGCUAUAGAUAUCCGACUAUGAGUAAAACCCAAGGGAAUUUCAAGCUUAAAGUGAUAGAGGGUGAAUUUACUGAUUCUCAAAUCAUUGUAAUGCUGGGUGAGAAUGGGACCGGGAAGACAACAUUUAUUAGAAUGCUGGCAGGAUUGCUGAAGCCUGAUACGGUGGAAGAUUCUGAUGUUGAGAUGCCUGAAUUUAAUGUUUCAUAUAAGCCUCAGAAAAUUAGUCCAAAGUUUCAAUAUACAGUGAGACACUUGCUGCAUCUAAAAAUUCGAGAUUCAUAUAUGCAUCCACAAUUUGUGACUGAUGUUAUGAAACCAUUGCAAAUUGAGCAAUUAAUGGACCAAGAAGUUGUGAAUCUUUCUGGUGGAGAACUGCAACGGGUAGCAUUGUGUUUGUGUCUUGGGAAGCCGGCAGACAUUUAUCUGAUAGAUGAACCAAGUGCUUAUCUAGAUUCAGAGCAGCGUAUUGUUGCCUCAAAGGUGAUAAAAAGAUUUAUCCUUCAUGCGAAGAAAACUGCCUUUGUUGUUGAACAUGAUUUCAUCAUGGCGACCUACCUGGCUGAUAAAGUGAUUGUGUACGAGGGGAAGCCCUCUGUGGAUUGCAUUGCUAAUGCACCUCAGUCUUUGGUAUCCGGCAUGAACCUGUUCUUAUCUCAUCUUGAUAUCACUUUCAGACGAGAUCCAACUAAUUACAGGCCCAGGAUAAACAAGUUGGAUUCUACCAAAGAUCGGGAACAGAAAUCUGCAGGAUCUUAUUAUUAUCUUGAUGAUUGAUAUAAAAUUAUGUUGUGUUAUACUCAGGUUUCUACGGCCUUGUGUGACGAUGGAUGAGUGUUAUUUGGCAAGUAGUAUAGCUUCUUUUCAUGUUUCUUUGUUGGAUCCCGAAGAUGAAAAUGUGGGGCAAGGAGUCGAAUCCAUGAAGGCAACAGAAAUUACCAUUCAUGGCCCCCUUGUUUCGACCUGUUAGUCCAUGAUUGCUUCUUCAGUUGCCACUUAUAGAAUUACUUUAGACUUUGCUUCCCUUGUCACUGGGAGCCUAUUUUUGAAUAACAAAAAUCAGUUGUAUUUUGAUAGUAAUUUACUUUUUUGAUUGUUGUUGUUGGUAUACUGAUGUCACCCAGUGAUCCUUUUCCUCAAACAUCAUUUGGUGUAUACGACAUGUUAAAGGUAUAUUUUCUUGUAUCGAGCAAUAUCUGUCGGGGUCAAUACACGAGGAGAAAAAUUCCAUA